rnacentral:rRNA from 1 species
GUGGGGAAUUUUGGACAAUGGGCGCAAGCCUGAUCCAGCAAUGCCGCGUGCAGGAAGAAGGCCUUCGGGUUGUAAACUGCUUUUGUACGGAACGAAAAGGCUCUGGUUAAUACCUGGGGCUCAUGACGGUACCGUAAGAAUAAGCACCGGCUAACUACGUGCCAGCAGCCGCGGUAAUACGUAGGGUGCAAGCGUUAAUCGGAAUUACUGGGCGUAAAGCGUGCGCAGGCGGUUUUGUAAGACAGGCGUGAAAUCCCCGGGCUCAACCUGGGAAUGGCGCUUGUGACUGCAAGGCUGGAGUGCGGCAGAGGGGGAUGGAAUUCCGCGUGUAGCAGUGAAAUGCGUAGAUAUGCGGAGGAACACCGAUGGCGAAGGCAAUCCCCUGGGCCUGCACUGACGCUCAUGCACGAAAGCGUGGGGAGCAAACAGGAUUAGAUACCCGAGUAGUCC